rnacentral:rRNA from 1 species
UACAGCAGCCAUAUCACCCUGCAGCUCUCAACUGGCAGCCCACUGAAGCUACGCAGGGUUGAGCCUGGUCAGUACCUGGAGGGGAGACCUCCUGGGAAGCUAUGGUUGCUGCUGGAA